AGCAAUCCUGGUGGCGAGUGGCGAACGGGUGAGUAAUGUAUCGGAACGUGCCCAGUGAUGGGGGAUAGCCCGGCGAAAGCCGGAUUAAUACCGCAUACGACCUACGGGUGAAAGCAGGGGAUCGCAAGACCUUGCGUCAUUGGAGCGGCCGAUAUCAGAUUAGCUCGUUGGUGGGGUAAAAGCCUACCAAGGCGACGAUCUGUAGUUGGUCUGAGAGGACGACCAGCCACACUGGGACUGAGACACGGCCCAGACUCCUACGGGAGGCAGCAGUGGGGAAUUUUGGACAAUGGGCGCAAGCCUGAUCCAGCCAUGCCGCGUGCGGGAAGAAGGCCUUCGGGUUGUAAACCGCUUUUGUCAGGGAAGAAACGGUUUGGGCUAAUACCUCGAACUAAUGACGGUACCUGAAGAAUAAGCACCGGCUAACUACGUGCCAGCAGCCGCGGUAAUACGUAGGGUGCAAGCGUUAAUCGGAAUUACUGGGCGUAAAGCGUGCGCAGGCGGUCAUGCAAGACAGAUGUGAAAUCCCCGGGCUCAACCUGGGGACUGCAUUUGUGACUGCAUGACUUGAGUACGGUAGAGGGGGAUGGAAUUCCGCGUGUAGCAGUGAAAUGCGUAGA
rnacentral:rRNA from 1 species